rnacentral:rRNA from 1 species
GAUGAACGCUGGCGGCGUGCUUAACACAUGCAAGUCGAACGGUGAAGCAGAGCUUGCUCUGUGGAUCAGUGGCGAACGGGUGAGUAACACGUGAGCAACCUGCCCCUGACUCUGGGUUAAGCCCUGGAAACGCCGCCUAUAACGGGAAAUGGGCUGCGCCCGCAGGGUCGGCGGUUGGAAAGAUUUUUCGGUCUGGGAUGGGCUCACGGCCUAUCAGCUUGUUGGUGAGGUAAUGGCUCACCAAGGCGUCGACGGGUAGCCGGCCUGAGAGGGUGACCGGCCACACUGGGACUGAGACACGGCCCAGACUCCUACGGGAGGCAGCAGUGGGGAAUAUUGCACAAUGGGCGAAAGCCUGAUGCAGCAACGCCGCGUGAGGGAUGACGGCCUUCGGGUUGUAAACCUCUUUUAGCAGGGAAGAAGCGAAAGUGACGGUACCUGCAGAAAAAGCGCCGGCUAACUACGUG